rnacentral:rRNA from 1 species
AGCGAACGCUGGCGGCAGGCUUAACACAUGCAAGUCGAGCGGAUGUAGCAAUACAUCAGCGGCAGACAGGUGAGUAACACGUGGGAACGUACCUUUUGGGUUCGGAACAACACAGGGAAACUUGUGCUAAUACCGGAUAAGCCCUUACGGGGAAAGAUUUAUCGCCGAAAGAUCGGCCCGCGUCUGAUUAGCUAGUUGGUGAGGUAACGGCUCACCAAGGCGACGAUCAGUAGCUGGUCUGAGAGGAUGAUCAGCCACAUUGGGACUGAGACACGGCCCAAACUCCUACGGGAGGGCAGCAGUGGGGAAUAUUGGACAAUGGGCGCAAGCCUGAUCCAGCCAUGCCGCGUGAGUGAUGAAGGCCCUA